CUUAUUACGCUAUGUCAUCAUAUGACUCAAACUAAAAAUCUAAUCUAUUCUGAAAUUGGUUGGUAUGUACACCACGUGUAAUUAGUUUUCAAAUGAUUCUUUUCCACCUGAUGGUUAUCUGGAAGAGAUCGCUCUUAGCGAUAAGACCGCCAUUUGUACUUUUUUUUGUAUUUAAUGUUUCGCAUUGUUUCUUUUGUUGGUGUACAAUAAAGAAUACUCUCUCUCUCUCUCUUUCUCUCUCUCUCUCUCUCUCUGUCUCUCUUUAUCUCUGUCUCUUUCUCUCUUUCUAUUGAGCUCUAGCCUGACGCGGGAAUAUCCGUCAUCUCCUGUCAAUAUGGACACAGUACAUGUCACGCGGCCUUCACGGGCACACUUCUCUCCGCCGCGUACGAUACAUGUAAAGCAUAACGCAAACACGCUAAAGACACCGCGGCAAUAUUCUAUUUGCAUGCGCCGCGUAAGAAUAUAAACAAGUAUUUCGAUUUGUGACGCGAACUUGACGAGGUCCUUGCUGAGUCUGACCUUAGGAGGGUGUGAAUGGUGUCAGCCAAUUUCCCUGUAAAUGGUACAGCAGAAGCCGUAAUGAAAACGCGUUAUCAGCAAAACAAAUUACCGAUGACCGUAUUUGUCGAAGAAAAAACAACAAACACAAGAAACAAAGAGACCUUAGAA